UACGUAGGGAGCAAGCGUUGUCCGGAAUCAUUGGGCGUAAAGCGCGCGUAGGUGGCUUCGUAAGUCCGUUGUGAAAGUCAAAGGCUCAACCUUUGAAAGCCGAUGGAUACUGUGAAGCUAGAGUACGGAAGAGGCGAGUGGAAUUCCUGGUGUAGCGGUGGAAUGCGCAGAUAUCAGGAGGAACACCAAUAGCGAAGGCAGCUCGCUGGGACGGUACUGACGCUGAGGCGCGAAAGCGUGGGGAGCGAACAGG
rnacentral:rRNA from 1 species